CAACGCCGCGUGGAGGAUGAAGUAUCUUGGUACGUAAACUCCCUUCGAUGGGGAAGGAUAAUGACGGUACCCAUAGAAGAAGCCCGGCUAACUUCGUGC
rnacentral:rRNA from 1 species